rnacentral:lncRNA from 1 species
GAGUAGCUGGGAGUACAGAUGCACACCACCACACCCAGCCUAGAAUGAAGAAACCUGCAGUUGGGAAGCAUGAAUUUACCACCUAUUAAGAAUUGUGGUUUGCAUUGUAAGAGGAGCCUGUGAAUUCAGAGGCAAGUCUGCUGAGGACCGAAUGUUCCUGUCCAUAAAAACAGAAGUCUGGCCUGGGCUCCUCUCUUGGGUGAAUUUGCAAUGCCAGAUCCUCUCUAUCAGUUUGGUUUUGUUUCUUGUAUCUCUGGGAAGGCAGGCAGACAGCACGGUCACCUGUGAAUGCAGCUACAAUUGGCUUAGCUGCCUCACUGAUAAAUGUGCCCCCAGUAAGCUACAAAGGGAUUACCAGCGUUCUCAGCAGCUAAAGGAACUGGCGAAGAUUUCCCCAGCAAAAAGUAGAAGCCCAGUGUUUCAUAGAUGAAGACUGGGGAGAUUGCAAAAGACCCAUCCAGGACUGUUUCUGCCAUGCGUGUUACUCAUUGCCAUGGUGCUUAUGACAGUGAAGGAAAGAGUCUCACUUUGUCGCCCAGGCUGGAGUACAGUGGUGCGAUCUUGGCUCUCUGCAACCUCUGCCUCCCAGGUUCAAGUAAUUCUCCUGCUUCAGCCUCCCGAGUAGCUGGGGCUACAGGCACACAUUUGUAGAGAUGGUGUUUCCCCAUGUCAUCCAGGCUGGUUUGGAACUCCUGGGAUCAAGUAAUCCACCCACCUCGGCCUCCCAAAGUGCUGGGAUUACAGACGUGAGCCACCACGCCCUGCCAAUAAAAAGAUUAUCUCCAGAUGCUGGAAUGACCAGUAAUUUAUUUUCUUCCUUUUUUUUUUUGUCUGCACUUUCUACCAUAAUCAUAUGUUAGCUUCUUACUAAGAAGAAAAGUCAAUGUUAUUUCCCUGAAAAAGUAAUGUUGUUUGGUUAUUAAACAAAUUUAAUUUUCUAAACAAGAGUACGACAGGUAAACUGCCUACCUUAAAAGCAAACGAACACAAAUAAGUAAACUAACCAUCUUCCACUUCA